rnacentral:rRNA from 1 species
UCGUUGCUACCGAUGCCAGUUGGAUACAGGUCAACAGACUUUCGACCUCUCGGGGAUUGAGAGAAAGUUGACCCAUGUUUAACUAGUAGAGGAAGCAA